rnacentral:snRNA from 1 species
AGAUGCCCAGAUGACCUGGUGGUGAUGUCUGCCUUCCCACUGCUCACCAGGACUGACUCGGCAGCUCUGGCUGGCUGAGAAGACGUCCCCCUCCUCCGCGCACUGUUCUGUGUGGGAAGAAGAUGAUCUUCCCCAAUGGAGGGGGACCUGCUUCUGUCAAGCGUGUGUGAGUGGCUGCACUCCCCUGCGAAAACCUCCAAGGAAACUCUCAAGAUGGAGUUAUAGUCCCACAAGUCAAGAAACUUCCGAAAGCUAGGAGAGAAGCCCGCUCAGAGCCUUCUUUGGUGCCUUCAGGG